ACUUUACCAUGCGGGCAACCGUGAUAAGGAAACCCCGAGUGCCAGCACAGGCUGGCUGUCCGCCAGUUUAAAUAACUGGUGAAGAAAGGGCCGGGCAAGACCGGUGCCAGCCGCCGCGGUAAUACCGGCGGCUCGAGUGGUGGCCGCUAUUACUGGGCUUAAAGGGUCCGUAGCUUGAUAACUGGGUCCCUUGAGAAAUCCGCCAGCUUAACUGGCGGGCGUUCAGGGGAAACUUGUUUUCUAGGGACCGGGAGAGGUGAGGGGUACUGCCGGGGUAGGAGUGAAAUCCUGUAAUCCCGGUGGGACCACCUAUGGCGAAGGCAUCUCACCAGAACGGGUCCGACAGUGAGGGACGAAAGCUGGGGGAGCAAACCGG
rnacentral:rRNA from 1 species